UGGGGAAUAUUGGACAAUGGGCGCAAGCCUGAUCCAGCCAUGCCGCGUGAGUGAUGAAGGCCCUAGGGUUGUAAAGCUCUUUCACCGGUGAAGAUAAUGACGGUAACCGGAGAAGAAGCCCCGGCUAACUUCGUGCCAGCAGCCGCGGUAAUACGAAGGGGGCUAGCGUUGUUCGGAUUUACUGGGCGUAAAGCGCACGUAGGCGGACUUUUAAGUCAGGGGUGAAAUCCCGGGGCUCAACCCCGGAACUGCCUUUGAUACUGGAAGUCUUGAGUAUGGUAGAGGUGAGUGGAAUUCCGAGUGUAGAGGUGAAAUUCGUAGAUAUUCGGAGGAACACCAGUGGCGAAGGCGGCUCACUGGACCAUAACUGACGCUGAGGUGCGAAAGCGUGGGGAGCAAACAGG
rnacentral:rRNA from 1 species